rnacentral:rRNA from 1 species
CGGAGGGUGCAAGCGUUGUCCGGAUUUAUUGGGUUUAAAGGGUGCGUAGGCGGUCUUUUAAGUCAGUGGUGAAAUCCUGCGGCUCAACUGUAGAACAGCCAUUGAUACUGAAAGACUUGAGUACAGACGAGGUAGGCGGAAUUUAUGGUGUAGCGGUGAAAUGCAUAGAUACCAUAAAGAACCCCUAUUGCGAAGGCAGCUUACUAGGCUGUAACUGACGCUGAGGCACGAAAGCGUGGGGAUCAAACAGGAUUAGAUACCCUGGUAGUCCACGCCGUAAACGAUGAUUACUCGAUGUUCGCGAUAUACAGUGAGCGUCCAAGCGAAAGCGUUAAGUAAUCCACCUGGGAAGUACGAUCGCAAGAUUG